rnacentral:rRNA from 1 species
CGGGACACGUGGUAUCCUGUCUGAAUAUGGGGGGACCAUCCUCCAAGGCUAAAUACUCCUGACUGACCGAUAGUGAACCAGUACCGUGAGGGAAAGGCGAAAAGAACCCCGGCGAGGGGAGUGAAAAAGAACCUGAAACCGUGUACGUACAAGCAGUGGGAGCACGCUUAGGCGUGUGACUGCGUACCUUUUGUAUAAUGGGUCAGCGACUUAUAUUCUGUAGCAAGGUUAACCGAAUAGGGGAGCCGAAGGGAAACCGAGUCUUAACUGGGCGUUAAGUUGCAGGGUAUAGACCCGAAACCCGGUGAUCUAGCCAUGGGCAGGUUGAAGGUUGGGUAACACUAACUGGAGGACCGAACCGACUAAUGUUGAAAAAUUAGCGGAUGACUUGUGGCUGGGGGUGAAAGGCCAAUCAAACCGGGAGAUAGCUGGUUCUCCCCGAAAGCUAUUUAGGUAGCGCCUCGUGAAUUCAUCUCCGGGGGUAGAGCACUGUUUCGGCAAGGGGGUCAUCCCGACUUACCAACCCGAUGCAAACUGCGAAUACCGGAGAAUGUUAUCACGGGAGACACACGGCGGGUGCUAACGUCCGUCGUGAAGAGGGAAACAACCCAGACCGCCAGCUAAGGUCCCAAAGUCAUGGUUAAGUGGGAAACGAUGUGGGAAGGCCCAGACAGCCAGGAUGUUGGCUUAGAAGCAGCCAUCAUUUAAAGAAAGCGUAAUAGCUCACUGGUCGAGUCGGCCUGCGCGGAAGAUGUAACGGGGCUAAACCAUGCACCGAAGCUGCGGCAGCGACGCUGAUGCGUUGUUGGGUAGGGGAGCGUUCUGUAAGCCUGUGAAGGUGUGCUGUGAGGCAUGCUGGAGGUAUCAGAAGUGCGAAUGCUGACAUAAGUAACGAUAAAGCGGGUGAAAAGCCCGCUCGCCGGAAGACCAAGGGUUCCUGUCCAACGUUAAUCGGGGCAGGGUGAGUCGACCCCUAAGGCGAGGCCGAAAGGCGUAGUCGAUGGGAAACAGGUUAAUAUUCCUGUACUUGGUGUUACUGCGAAGGGGGGACGGAGAAGGCUAUGUUGGCCGGGCGACGGUUGUCCCGGUUUAAGCGUGUAGGCUGGUUUUCCAGGCAAAUCCGGAAAAUCAAGGCUGAGGCGUGAUGACGAGGCACUACGGUGCUGAAGCAACAAAUGCCCUGCUUCCAGGAAAAGCCUCUAAGCAUCAGGUAACAUCAAAUCGUACCCCAAACCGACACAGGUGGUCAGGUAGAGAAUACCAAGGCGCUUGAGAGAACUCGGGUGAAGGAACUAGGCAAAAUGGUGCCGUAACUUCGGGAGAAGGCACGCUGAUAUGUAGGUGAAGCGACUUGCUCGUGGAGCUGAAAUCAGUCGAAGAUACCAGCUGGCUGCAACUGUUUAUUAAAAACACAGCACUGUGCAAACACGAAAGUGGACGUAUACGGUGUGACGCCUGCCCGGUGCCGGAAGGUUAAUUGAUGGGGUCAGCGCAAGCGAAGCUCUUGAUCGAAGCCCCGGUAAACGGCGGCCGUAACUAUAACGGUCCUAAGGUAGCGAAAUUCCUUGUCGGGUAAGUUCCGACCUGCACGAAUGGCGUAAUGAUGGCCAGGCUGUCUCCACCCGAGACUCAGUGAAAUUGAACUCGCUGUGAAGAUGCAGUGUACCCGCGGCAAGACGGAAAGACCCCGUGAACCUUUACUAUAGCUUGACACUGAACAUUGAGCCUUGAUGUGUAGGAUAGGUGGGAGGCUUUGAAGUGUGGACGCCAGUCUGCAUGGAGCCGGCCUUGAAAUACCACCCUUUAAUGUUUGAUGUUCUAACGUUGACCCGUGAUCCGGGUUGCGGACAGUGUCUGGUGGGUAGUUUGACUGGGGCGGUCUCCUCCUAAAGAGUAACGGAGGAGCACGAAGGUUGGCUAAUCCUGGUCGGACAUCAGGAGGUUAGUGCAAUGGCAUAAGCCAGCUUGACUGCGAGCGUGACGGCGCGAGCAGGUGCGAAAGCAGGUCAUAGUGAUCCGGUGGUUCUGAAUGGAAGGGCCAUCGCUCAACGGAUAAAAGGUACUCCGGGGAUAACAGGCUGAUACCGCCCAAGAGUUCAUAUCGACGGCGGUGUUUGGCACCUCGAUGUCGG